rnacentral:rRNA from 1 species
AUGGGGUUCAACAGAGCACAGUUGUUUGCUGCCUUCGCCCUGGGGUUGCUCAUCAUGUCCCACAGUGUGGAGGCGGUUCGUCCCCGUCCCCGGAUAUGCCAUUCCCCAAGCCAUCUUUAUCAUGGCUCAUGCAACAACAGGAAAUGCGUGGAGGUGUGCCACCACGAGCACUUCACCGGCGGCUACUGCUCACGUAAAGGGGUUGUUAAAAGACUUCAUUGUGAAUGUACCAUAAAAUGCGGCCAUUAUAGUCCUCCACCGCCGUCAGAAGUGCCGGAGCCGCCGCCGUAUGAACGGCCGCCACCACCACCAAGAGUCAUGUAG